rnacentral:lncRNA from 1 species
CAGUAAACCGGUGUCUGGACUCACUGAGGUUCAGGUUCUUCAUGUCUCCGUGCAGAAGGAAUUCAGCGAGAGACAAUGUGAUAGGUAAGAAAUAGGUUUAAUAAAAUAGGACGUUUGUGAGGGAUACAGGUGGGCAGGCAAGGAGGCUCUGCCCUGAGGAUUAGGUGGCUACAUUUUCAUAAUCGAAGGAAAGCGGGGAGGGAGAAAAGACCGCCUUCUUCCUCCGAGUAGCUGUCAGGCUUACUUCACUAGCUCCUCCCCCGUAUUGGGUAGGAGUGUUUGACCCUAUGGGGUCAAACUAGGACUGUCACAGCGCUUUUUCAAAUCGGCAGAAGGGUGGUACCAUCUGCUAAAGUACAUUGAAUUAUCUCAGGUUUCCAUAUUAUGAGGGUCUCCUACUUUGGAAAGUCAUCCUUCCCUUAAAUUCCUGUCCUUGGUCCUAAGGGUCAUUCUCUUGCUGAACUUGAAUGCAGGCCUCAUUUUAUCCUUCAUUUAAUGACCGGAGGCAUAUCUCCUGCUUUUACUUAUGGUUUUAUAGUGAAGCAAACCUGCUGUGUUCUGAUGGCUUUCUUGAGCAGUUAUUAACAUACAGUGGUGUCCCAGAGUGCCCUAGGUUUCCUUCUCUCUCUGUGGUCCCCUCCUGGGACUCCUACAACUACCUGUAUAACUAUCCUAUUCUGUCCCUAUCACGCCCACCAGUGCUUCUGUCCUUAGACAACGUCAAGGUGAGGAUUCCUUGCUUAGGCCCUGUUUUUCUCUGCAUUGGCAAAUGAAAUCAUUUCUUGGUGCAGCUGAGGUGCCCUCAGUUCCUUAGAGUAAUUAUUGCUCUAUCAGUAAACGGAAAGGUUUUAAUUUCACAAGAGUGCGUGCAAAUCGUGCAUUUUGCUUUUGCUCAGCCUUAAUCAAUACUGUAACAGAAUUAAGAGGUCCCAGCAAGCCUUGUGAUCUUACCUAAGCUAAUAAAAAAUGAGCCUACAUAACUACAAAACGAGACCUUAGCUAAUGCACUUGUCGAUAACACGUGACCACAUUUUUCUGUCUUGUAUCAAAUUUUCUCUGGUUUGUUCAGGUAUUGACUGAAAGUGUGUGUUUUUUAGAGGCAGGGGCAGUCUCUCCAGCUACUACAGUUUAAGGUUUUAUGUCAUCUUCUUUCAUGUCACCCUAAUUACAUUAAAUUUUAACCUCAAGCCUGGUCGCCAAUAAUCUCCCUCUUCUCUCUUGCCUGUUUUCCCUCAGGACUGUCCACCUUCUAUUACUCUCUUUAUUUUAUUUGUUGAUCUCCUUUCUCCUCUGCCUCUCUGUUGUGGUCGUUGUUGUUUUCUCUCAUUUAUUCACCUAGGCUCUAGGACAGUGCCUGGCAUGUGGUAGACACUCAAAAAAUUAUUUGCUGCAGGAAGGAAUGAAAUCGCCUGGUACAGCUGUUGUAUACAGCGGGCAUAAUUUUUAACAUCCAUCACUUUUUUUUUUUCUAAAAUUCUCUCUUUCCUGGAGUUCCCUGGUGGCUCAGCAAGUUAAGUAUCUGGCAUUGUGACUACUGUGGCCUGGGUUGCUGCUGUGGCAUGGGUUCCAUCCCUGGCCCAGGAACUUCCGCAUGCCAUGGGUGUGGGCAAGGAAAACAAAACCAAAAUAAAGUAAAAUAAAAUUCUGUGUUUCCAGAUGCUUGGUAUAUAGUGUAUGCUCACCUGGCUGGUUGAUUAGAUAAGUGGACAAAUCAAAUGUUACAUUACAAUGAUGGAAAAUAAUGUCACGUUCCAUCCAAUAGCCUCCCCUCCCGGCUAGCUAUUCCACCGACCCAGCUGGCCAGAAAGAAGGAGGCAGGGAGAACAAGCAUAUAUUCUCUGUCCUUAUCUCUCCAGCACACGGCUGGUUUUUUAAAUAGCCUUUAAUGACCAUUGCAUAAAGAUGUCACUGCGUCAGUGCCGUCCCCAAGCAGCUGGGAGACUGUGAAGCCCCGUGUCUUUCUGUGACAUCCCUCCCAUGGACCACAGGGGGGCUUCACCUACUUCAUUUGUAACCCAGCUCCCAGGAUAGGGCAUCCUGCUAAAUACACCAGCUCCCUUAUCGGCCUCUCCUAUGGUAAUGCUCUUGCUACACAAGCCAGACAAUUAGAGGUAAUUGGGAUAAUCGGCAUUUAUUAUGGCAAUUUGCAUUUCUACAGCAAGCAGUACAGAAUUUACCACCCAGUUUGGGAAUGUGCUUUUUGGAUCUGCACUGAAUUUGGCUCUUCAUUCCAAAGCACUUUUUAGAGCCCCCAGGAUCUGUCCCUCCUCGGCCCACAGGAUGUCCUUAGGGCUGCAUUAGGUGUGACUCUCAUCAGCCAGUCAGAGGCGAGCAUGCAAAUUAGGGUCUGGGAAUUAGGGAAGCCUCGCUCCCACCAUCUGGGGCCUGGGGAAAAGCUACUGUGGAAGGAUCCCUGGAUCUGUGGCCAGACCCCUGGUGACUGAUUUUUCGCUACAUUGACCAGAUGUUUGACUUAAUUGACAGAAUUGUUUUGCUGCCUCAGCUGAGUGACUCAAAUCUCAAGCCUGCUAUUAGUAGAAACCUCAGCAAGGGAGACCCUGUGAUGGUUCUCCACACAUGAGCCCAAGAGACUUCUGAACGCAAGGGUGCCUGUUCUGUCUGUGCCCACCUUCGCUGGUAUGGAUACCUCCCUUGUGCCCAGCUUUUUGGGUACCUGCCUGUCCCUCAUGAAUGAGGGCAGAGCUGUGCAGUGGUCAUAACUGUCAGUUCUCCACUGCAGCUUCCUGGGUUAGAAUCUAUUCGCCGCCAGUUGUUAGCUGGGUGAUCAUGAGUUAUCUAACGUCUUGGUGCAACAGUUUCCUCGUCAUUAAAGUAGAGGUAUCAGUAACACCUGGCCCUGUGAUUGACAUAAGAAUCAAGUGAGAUCAUAUAUAUAAAUCCUCUAGCAAAGAAGAAAAAAACAAAAAAAUGUUUUUAAUAAAUUUAAGGAGUUCCUGUCAUGGCUCAGUGGAAACGAAUCUGACUAGUAUUCAAGAGGACGCAGGUUUGAUCCCUGGCCUUGCUCAGCAGGUUAAGGAUCCAGCGUUGCUGUGAGCUGUGGUGUAGGUCACAGACAUGGCUCGGAUCUGGCAUUGCUGUGGCUCUGGCGUAGGCCAGCUAUGGUGUAGGCUGGCAGCUUCAAUUCGACCCCUAGCCUGGGUACUUCCAUAUGCUGUGGGUGCAGCCC